rnacentral:rRNA from 1 species
AACAGGAUUAGAUACCCUGGUAGUCCACGCUGUAAACGAUGUCGACUUGGAGGUUGUUCCCUUGAGGAGUGGCUUCCGGAGCUAACGCGUUAAGUCGACCGCCUGGGGAGUACGGCCGCAAGGUUAAAACUCAAACGAAUUGACGGGGGCCCGCACAAGCGGUGGAGCAUGUGGUUUAAUUCGAUGCAACGCGAAGAACCUUACCUACUCUUGACAUCCAGAGAACUUAGCAGAGAUGCUUUGGUGCCUUCGGGAGCUCUGAGACAGGUGCUGCAUGGCUGUCGUCAGCUCGUGUUGUGAAAUGUUGGGUUGAGUCCCGCAACGAGCGCAACCCUUAUCCUUUGUUGCCAGCGGUCCGGCCGGGAACUCAAAGGAGACUGCCAGUGAUAAACUGGAGGAAGGUGGGGAUGACGUCAAGUCAUCAUGGCCCUUACGAGUAGGGCUACACACGUGCUACAAUGGCAUAUACAAAGAGAAGCGACCUCGCGAGAGCAGGCGGACCUCAUAAAGUAUGUCGUAGUCCGGAUUGGAGUCUGCAACUCGACUCCAUGAAGUCGGAAUCGCUAGUAAUCGUGGAUCAGAAUGCCACGGUGAAUACGUUCCCGGGCCUUGUACACACCGCCCGUCACACCAUGGGAGUGGGUUGCAAAAGAAGUAGGUAGCUUAACCUUCGGGAGGGCGCUUACCACUUUGUGAUUCAUGACUGGGGUGAAGUCGUAACAAGGUAACC